UUCCCAUACCGAACACGGAAGUUAAGCUCUCUAGCGCCGAUGGUAGUUGGGACUUUGUCCCUGUGAGAGUAGGACGUUGCCAGGC
rnacentral:rRNA from 1 species